AGCGAACGCUGGCGGCAGGCCUAACACAUGCAAGUCGAACGAAGUCUUCGGACUUAGUGGCGGACGGGUGAGUAACACGUGGGAACGUGCCUUUAGGUUCGGAAUAACUCAGGGAAACUUGUGCUAAUACCGAAUGUGCCCUUCGGGGGAAAGAUUUAUCGCCUUUAGAGCGGCCCGCGUCUGAUUAGCUAGUUGAUGAGGUAAAGGCUCACCAAGGCGACGAUCAGUAGCUGGUCUGAGAGGAUGAUCAGCCACAUUGGGACUGGGACACGGCCCAAACUCCUACGGGAGGCAGCAGUGGGGAAUCUUGCGCAAUGGGCGAAAGCCUGACGCAGCCAUGCCGCGUGAAUGAUGAAGGUCUUAGGAUUGUAAAAUUCUUUCACCGGGGACGAUAAUGACGGUACCCGGAGAAGAAGCCCCGGCUAACUUCGUGCCAGCCGCCGCCGUAAGAC
rnacentral:rRNA from 1 species